CCUGGCGUGCCAAAUUUGUUGCGGCCAAUCUCCCAUCGCUCGAUCGUCGGUGUCGCGCACCUGCAAAGAAAGUCCUCACAGACCGGAGAUGCCUCCGACGGAGAUCCUCCGAUGGUCAAGUCAGAGAGGAGACUAGGCAACAGUGAAAAAUCAGGGGCUCAGCUUGAGAGGGCCUGAGGAGGCUUAGAAAAGCUUACCAGGACUGUUGCCUUAUCCCUUUUUAUAGUAGAAUGCGGUAUGGUCCCGCCAUUAAUGGUGCAGACAACUGGAGAGUUGUCAAAUCAUCGGGGGUUGUC
rnacentral:lncRNA from 1 species